AGAACGAACGCUGAUGGCGUGCCUCAUACAUGCAAGUCGAGCGCACCGCAAGGUGAGCGGCGAACGGGUGAGUAACGCGUGAACAAUCUGCCUCAAAGUGGGGGAUAACCAUUCCAACGGAUGGCUAAUACCGCAUAGGGUUUGGAAGCGGCAUCGCUUCCCUACGAAAGCAUUUAUGCGCUUUGAGAUGAGUUCGCGUCCCAUUAGCUAGUUGGCGGGGUAACGGCCCACCAAGGCAACGAUGGGUA
rnacentral:rRNA from 1 species